AGGAGGACAUCUUUGAGGAAUCCUUGUUCUGAUCCAGUUUCAUGGAAGGGAGAUCCAUGACAAAAGAUUAUCAAAGUUUAGGAAAGAAAUUAAUGUUUAUGUUUUGUUCAUACUACUGUACAGUCCUCACUUGACAUUCAUGUGGCAUAGUGAAAUCUGUGAAUAACCAGAGUUCAUAAAGUCUGGAAGAAUGUCAUCACAAAAUUAAUAAAAAAAAACUUGUAAAAGUUUUUGAAAAAUUACUGACGAACUCUUUCAUUUGAAUUACUACACUUAUGUUGUUUCUUGGAUGAGUAGGAAUUUGUUAUAUUUUUUUUCAGGUCCCUGAUGAGUUUUGGUCCGAGGUGAAGAUGUAUGUUAAGACCCUCGUCCUUGCAGAUUGUGCGCGUCAAAACAAGUCUGACAAAUCUGACAUUUUGCUGUUGUUAGAUGAAAAUUAGAAAAUAAUCGUUGAAGAUGUGUUGAUCAGCAAAAAGUACCUGCAGCACUGCCAGACCAUAGAAUUACAAAGGUGCAAGUUUUCUUGAUGUCUCCAAGUCGGGGUUAGCUAGUUCUCACUUACGAAUUUCACCUUUAUUAGAGAUAGGAGUAUAUGCAUUAUUUGUUCACUGAAAGCAAUGGUUAUUUCCUUUAAAAUGUUUUGGCACUUUUAAUGGGUUCCUGACAUUCUGGUAAAAGCAACAGAACAUUUGGUAAUUUUAUUGAGGAGAAAUGAGCACUUUCCCUUUACUGCACUCCUGCAGUGUGAAAUGAUUUUUUGUAAAAAAAAAAAAAAAAAAAAAGAAGAAUCUUUGUUAGUCUACUUGAAUAGUAAAUGAGCCAGUCAUUGUGUCUGAAAACAUUUUCACAAGGAAUAUGCCAGGAAAACAUAUGAAGUAAAAGUAUGAAAGAGUUAUUCUAAGCCUACCAGGACUUUCCUGUAUUUUUAGUUUACUGCAUUUAAUUUUCCCAGAUAAUGCAGAGGACAGUUAUUUGGGACUGAUAUAACUAAGCAUGCCUAACUCAAUCUCUUAAGUAGUAUUAGUUGGGGUGUAUCCUUGGUAAUUUUCCAUUAUGUGCAUUUGAUUUCCUGGAGUAUUGCAUAUUACAAUGAAUAAUUCAUAGUAAUAUAAAAUAUUAUUGUAGUUUUUAGAAUACUAUACAUGAAUUAUAAUAAUACUUUUCUCUGAACAAUUUGGUUAUUUUAAGAAUUUUUGUAUCCAUUCAUUGUUUGAAAUUUUUGAGCAAUUUCAUCUCUUUUCAUACAUCUAUGAAUAUUUUCCAUAUUUGAGAAAGGCUGUUUUAUGAUAGGUUGCAAUUUUUGUACCAUAAAGGGGUGUGUUGUUAACAACUUAUUAAUUAUAAUUUUCUAGUACCUUUUGAUGAGUUCAAAUUGUCAUUAUUUUAAGAAUUUUGUUCUCCAUUGAGGGAUAGAAUUUGCAAGGCAAAUUUCAUCUCUUCCUUCAAUUACUGAUUUUUUUCUUAUAUUCAUUUUAUCAUGAUCAUAAGUUACAUAAAUUCUGUAACUUAUUUCUGUUUCCUGUAAUUUUGUUUUAUUUAUCAUUGUUGGUGAUCAUUUAAAAAAAAUUCCAUUCAAUCCUCAAUCCAUUUUCAUGAAAUCAAUUUUAUAGUUAUGUAGUAGUUGCACUAUUCCAUAUAAAAUACAUUCUGCAAACCUGCUGAAAUGUUUGAAGUAAUUAUUUUUGUAUUUUAAAAUACACUUGAGAAAAUAAGAAAAAUUAUGCAGGUAAGAAUUUUGAAUUUGAGUAACCUUUGAGACAGAAACAUCCUUUAAUGCCUUGACAUAGUUUUACAGUCAAUAACUUGUUGAGAAAGUAUGGAUCACACAGUACAGGUUGAUGGCUAAGGUUUGUGAGAGCCUCCAUGUGAAUCAUACAAAUAGGUAGAUGAAUGCAGUUGCUAUAUUAAUUUUGUUCUCAUCUGGUCGUGUCUCUGUAUCUGGUUCAUGCCAGUACUACUUUUUGAAAUGGUGAAGCAACCCUAGAUAGUUCAUCUGAAAUCAUGAGCAAGUUAUCUACAAUAUUUAAAGCCAUUUAAAUCAAUAUUUUGCUCGAUUUACAAGGUUUACUAAAGAUGAAUUUGAGGGGUGGGGGUUAAAUUGGCCAUUAUAAAAAAAAUGGCCAUUUCGAGAUGAUCAUACCAAUGAGCUGGAAAGGUCCAUUUCUGUCAGUGCUGUAAAGGCCAAUGAUGCCUGCAUGUUAAGAAUACCAAACCAACAAUAUGUUCGGAUCCAAACUCAGCUCUACUCUUCUAAACUUUUAAACUACUUAACAUAUACUUGGUCUGUAACCCAAAAUCUCAAUAUCUCAUCUCUUGCAAAAGUAGCUUUCUCGAGGUUAGGUGUUCUUUAUUGUCUCCACCAUUUUUACUCCCUCACAGACGCUAUCCUUAUACAAGAGCCUUCUGUGUUCUUGUUUAGAGUAUGCUUUUCAUAUGUGUUGUUCUUUUUUUAUAGUGUCUAGACUUUUCAUCAUCAGCUUUCCUUCGCUUACUGACAGCCUUCUAUCUCUUAAAUUCCGCCACAGUGUUGCCCUCAUUCUAUCUUCUAUCAAUAUUUUCAUGCUAACUGCUCUACUGAAUUUGCUAAUUGCAUGUCUCCACCCCUCAUACAACCCUGCUGCACCUGACUUCCUAUUCUUGUUCAUUCCUAUGCCAUCCUAUUAAUUCUUCAUCCCUUUUGCUGGUAAACUGGAACAGUCAUCUUGUGUCUUUUUCCUUCUGCCUACGACUUGAACUUUCAAGAGGGAAGUAUCAAGACACCUCCAAAUGACUGUUUUGGAAUUCUUCUAGUAUACACUAUUUGCGCCAGUGGACUAUUUUUACUUUUAUAUUUAUAAAUAUAUUUAUUUAACUGUU